UAUAGAGCUUUAAUUAUUUUCUAGACAAAAGUAAUAUGUAACGCUGUAACUAGAAACUAAUUUUUGUUGGGGCGACAAAGAGAAAAUAAAUAACACUCUUUUUUUAUAAAUACAUAUAAGUAAAUAAUUGAUCCUUAAUUAAAGAUUAAAAGACUAAGUUACCUUA
rnacentral:rRNA from 1 species